rnacentral:rRNA from 1 species
UACGUAGGGUGCAAGCGUUGUCCGGAAUUAUUGGGCGUAAAGGGCUCGUAGGCGGUUUGUCGCGUCGGGAGUGAAAACGCCGUGCUUAACACGGCGCUUGCUUUCGAUACGGGCAGACUAGAGGUAUGCAGGGGAGAACGGAAUUCCUGGUGUAGCGGUGAAAUGCGCAGAUAUCAGGAGGAACACCGGUGGCGAAGGCGGGUCUCUGGGCAACAACUGACGCUGAGGAGCGAAAGCGUGGGGAGCGAACAGG